rnacentral:rRNA from 1 species
GAACAACGCUGGCGGCGUGCUUAACACAUGCAAGUCGAACGGAACUAUUAUGGAAUGCUUUCGGGCUGGAAGUUUUAGUUUAGUGGCGAACGGGUGAGUAACGCGUGAGGAACCUGCCUUUCAGAGGGGGACAACAGUUGGAAACGACUGCUAAUACCGCAUAAUGCACAUGCUUCGCAUGAAGGAUGUGCCAAAGAUUUUAUCGCUGAAAGAUGGCCUCGCGUCUGAUUAGAUAGUUGGUGGGGUAACGGCCUACCAAGUCGACGAUCAGUAGCCGGACUGAUAGGUUGAACGGCCACAUUGGAACUGAGAAACGGUCCAGACUCCUACGGGAGGCAGCAGUGGGGAAUAUUGGGCAAUGGGCGAAAGCCUGACCCAGCGACGCCGCGUGAAGGAAGAAAGUCUUCGGAUUGUNAACCUCUUUCAGCAGGNAANAAGUGAGUGACGGUACCUGCAAAANAAGUCACGCUUACUACGUGCCAGCAGCCCGCGUUAUACGUANGUGGCAAACGUUGUCCGAAUUUAUGGGUGUAAAGGGCGUGUAAGCGGGAUGGCAAUUCAAAUGUGAAAACUAUGGGCUC